rnacentral:rRNA from 1 species
UACGUAGGGGGCGAGCGUUGUCCGGAAUUACUGGGCGUAAAGAGCUCGUAGGUGGUUUGUCGCGUUGUUCGUGAAAUCUCACGGCUUAACUGUGAGCGUGCGGGCGAUACGGGCAGACUAGAGUACUGCAGGGGAGACUGGAAUUCCUGGUGUAGCGGUGGAAUGCGCAGAUAUCAGGAGGAACACCGGUGGCGAAGGCGGGUCUCUGGGCAGUAACUGACGCUGAGGAGCGAAAGCGUGGGGAGCGAACAGG